UGGGGAAUAUUGGACAAUGGGCGAAAGCUUGAUCCAGCCAUGCCGCGUGUGUGAAGAAGGCCUUUUGGUUGUAAAGCACUUUAAGCGAGGAGGAGGCUACUUAGAUUAAUACUCUAGGAUAGUGGACGUUACUCGCAGAAUAAGCACCGGCUAACUCUGUGCCAGCAGCCGCGGUAAUACAGAGGGUGCGAGCGUUAAUCGGAUUUACUGGGCGUAAAGCGUGCGUAGGCGGCUUUUUAAGUCGGAUGUGAAAUCCCUGAGCUUAACUUAGGAAUUGCAUUCGAUACUGGGAAGCUAGAGUAUGGGAGAGGAUGGUAGAAUUCCAGGUGUAGCGGUGAAAUGCGUAGAGAUCUGGAGGAAUACCGAUGGCGAAGGCAGCCAUCUGGCCUAAUACUGACGCUGAGGUACGAAAGCAUGGGGAGCAAACAGG
rnacentral:rRNA from 1 species